UCCAGGUGCAGUGGUGCUGGCCUAUAGUUCCAGCUACCCAGGAGGCUGAGGCAGAAAGAUUGCCUGAGCCCAUUUCUGGGCUGCAGUUAACUAUGCCUAUCAGGUGUCUGUACUAAGUUUGGCAUCAAUAUGGUGACCUCCCGGGACCUGGGGACCACCAGGUUGCUUAAGGAGGGGUGAAACAGCCUAGGUUGUAAAUGGAGCAGGUCAGAACUCCCGCGCUGAUCACUAAUGGAAUUGCACCUGUGAAUAGCCACUGCAUUCCACUCUGGGCAACAUAGUGAAAUCCUGUUUAAA
ensembl:misc_RNA Metazoa_SRP Metazoan signal recognition particle RNA